rnacentral:rRNA from 1 species
GAUGAACGCUGGCGGCGUGCCUAAUACAUGCAAGUUGAGCGCCGACGGUUGGUACUCGUUCCCACUGGAUGACCAGCGAACGGGUGAUUAACGCGUGGGGACCUUGUUUUUGAGCGGGGGAUAACAUUUGGAAACGAAAGAUAAUAUACGUUAUACACUUUAAACACAAGUUUCACGUUUGCAAGAUGCAAUUGCUUCGCUCACAGCUGAUCCCGUGUUGUAUUAGCUAGUUGGUGAGGAAAAGGCUCACCAAGGCGUUGAUACAUAGCCGAGUGGAGAGGGUGAUCUGCCACAUUGGGACUGAGACACGGCCCAAGCUCCUUCGGGGGGGAGCAGGAGGGAAACUUUGGCAAUGGGCGAAAAUCUUACCCAGCAACGCCGCGGGAGUUAAGAAGGUUUUCGGAGCGGAAAACUCUGUUGGUAGGGAAAAACGUUGGUGAGGGUAAAAAGCUCAGCAAGUGACGGUAACUACACAGAAAGGGACGGCUAACUACGUG